CAGGCUUAACACAUGCAAGUCGAGGGGCAGCAUGGUCUUAGCUUGCUAAGGCCGAUGGCGACCGGCGCACGGGUGAGUAACACGUAUCCAACCUGCCGUCUACUCUUGGACAGCCUUCUGAAAGGAAGAUUAAUACAAGAUGGCAUCAUGAGUCCACAUGUUCACAUGAUUAAAGGUAUUCCGGUAGACGAUGGGGAUGCGUUCCAUUAGAUAGUAGGCGGGGUAACGGCCCACCUAGUCUUCGAUGGAUAGGGGUUCUGAGAGGAAGGUCCCCCACAUUGGAACUGAGACACGGUCCAAACUCCUACGGGAGGCAGCAGUGAGGAAUAUUGGUCAAUGGGCGAGAGCCUGAACCAGCCAAGUAGCGUGAAGGAUGACUGCCCUAUGGGUUGUAAACUUCUUUUAUAAAGGAAUAAAGUCGGGUAUGCAUACCCGUUUGCAUGUACUUUAUGAAUAAGGAUCGGCUAACUCCGUGCCAGCAGCCGCGGUAAUACGGAGGAUCCGAGCGUUAUCCGGAUUUAUUGGGUUUAAAGGGAGCGUAGAUGGAUGUUUAAGUCAGUUGUGAAAGUUUGCGGCUCAACCGUAAAAUUGCAGUUGAUACUGGAUAUCUUGAGUGCAGUUGAGGCAGGCGGAAUUCGUGGUGUAGCGGUGAAAUGCUUAGAUAUCACGAAGAACUCCGAUUGCGAAGGCAGCCUGCUAAGCUGCAACUGACAUUGAGGCUCGAAAGUGUGGGUAUCAAACAGGAUUAGAUACCCUGGUAGUCCACACGGUAAACGAUGAAUACUCGCUGUUUGCGAUAUACGGCAAGCGGCCAAGCGAAAGCGUUAAGUAUUCCACCUGGGGAGUACGCCGGCAACGGUGAAACUCAAAGGAAUUGACGGGGGCCCGCACAAGCGGAGGAACAUGUGGUUUAAUUCGAUGAUACGCGAGGAACCUUACCCGGGCUUAAAUUGCAGAUGAAUUACGGUGAAAGCCGUAAGCCGCAAGGCAUCUGUGAAGGUGCUGCAUGGUUGUCGUCAGCUCGUGCCGUGAGGUGUCGGCUUAAGUGCCAUAACGAGCGCAACCCUUGUUGUCAGUUACUAACAGGUUCCGCUGAGGACUCUGACAAGACUGCCAUCGUAAGAUGUGAGGAAGGUGGGGAUGACGUCAAAUCAGCACGGCCCUUACGUCCGGGGCUACACACGUGUUACAAUGGGGGGUACAGAGGGCCGCUACCACGCGAGUGGAUGCCAAUCCCCAAAACCUCUCUCAGUUCGGACUGGAGUCUGCAACCCGACUCCACGAAGCUGGAUUCGCUAGUAAUCGCGCAUCAGCCACGGCGCGGUGAAUACGUUCCCGGGCCUUGUACACACCGCCCGUCAAGCCAUGGGAGCCGGGGGUACCUGAAGUGCGUAACCGCGAGGAGCGCCCUAGGGUAAAACUGGUGACUGGGGCUAAGUCAUAAC
rnacentral:rRNA from 1 species